GCCAGGUGUGGUGGUGCGCGCCUGUAAUCCCAGCUACUUGGGAGGCUGAGGCAGGGAAAUCACUUGAACCCGGGAGGUGGAGGUUGCAGUGAGCCGAGAUGGUGCCACUGCACUCCAGCCUGGGUGACAGAGGGAGACUCUGUCUCAA
rnacentral:SRP_RNA from 1 species